CCUACGGGAGGCAGCAGUAGGGAAUCUUUCACAAUGGGCGAAAGCCUGAUGGAGCAACGCCGCGUGCAGGAUGAAGGCCUUCGGGUUGUAAACUGCUUUUAUAAGCGAGAAAUAUGAUGGUAACUUAUGAAUAAGGAUCGGCUAACUACGUGCCAGCAGCCGCGGUCAUACGUAGGAUCCGAGCAUUAUCCGGAGUGACUGGGUGUAAAGAGUUGCGUAGGUGGCAUAAUUAGUAGCUAGUGAAAUCUGGUGGCUCAACCAUUCAGACUAUUAGCUAAACUGUUAAGCUCGAGACCGUUAGGGGUAACUGGAAUUUCUAGUGUAGGAGUGAAAUCCGUAGAUAUUAGAAGGAACACCAAUAGCGUAGGCAGGUUGCUGGGACGGUUCUGACACUAAGGCACGAAAGCGUAGGGAGCAAACGGGAUUAGAUACCCCAGUAGUC
rnacentral:rRNA from 1 species